CUGGAUUGAUGGAGCUGUUAGCGGCUUCCCGCUCUUUCCAAUUUCUCUGUGGGGAGAAGCGCAGCUUCAGGCGGAAUUAGUGACAAAAUAGGAUGCAGCAGGAGGCGAAGAGAAGGGGGAGAGUUUAUGGCGAGCACCAACUGCCUUUCCCCUUAUAUUCAAAUAUUCAUUUGCAUUGCAGCUGAGACGCAGAUGUUCUUGGAAUUGCGGUUAUCGACAAACAUUUGUAGGCUGGGAAAACUCUUUGUCUUGGUAAAUACAGAGACAGGGAGUGAGACAAAAUUGCAACUGCAGAGGGUCUAGUACCCAAAGCUUUAGCUUAUCUAGACAAUUAAAUAAGCAAUAGUGUGCUGAUGUCCUGUUUGUGUUUAAUACUUUGGGGAGGCGCCUUGCUGUUCAGGGGGUGGUUUUGCUACUGGAAGAACAGAUUUUUGCCACUUAAAAAAUAAAAAAGGAGGAGGUGUGCAUUCUGGCAUUGUAGAUUAAAAAUGUCACAGAAUUAUAGAAAUUCCAAAAAGAGUGGGGAAUGUACGGAGAUUACCUAAAAUAAACAGUGUCCCCCAAUCAAAACCUAGACUUGCUUUGAGUAAUAUUUGCAAAACCAAAAUAUGGCUUACAAGUAUAGUAUAUGGAGAAGGGUAGAAGUGAUGAAAUGAGAAAGAAACAGUUUAUCAAACAGGAAAUCAGGCCUGCUUUGAGGAGGAAGGAGGUCUAAUAGAAUAAGAAUCAGAAAUAGAAAAUAGGGUAACAUCAGUCCAUGGAAUUAUAGAACUGAAAGGGGGCUUUGUAGACAUCUGCCAGUCCAAACAUCUGCUUGAUGCAGGCAACCCAGAGGUAGAAUAUCUCCAGCUGAUAGCAGUCUACCCUCUGCUUCAAGACCUCCAGUGAAGAAGAGACCAUCAUCGCCCUCCAGGAAGGAGCCAUGGCUCAGUGGUACAGCCUCUGCUUUGCAUGCAGAAGAUACACAGCAUCUCCAAGUACGGCUGAGAACGUCCUGUCUGAACCCCUGAUGCCAGUAAGUGAAGACAACGUUGAAGUAGAUGGACUAGGGGUCUGACUCAGUGUAAGGCAGGUGCCUAUAUUCCUAUAUUCCAGGACUCAGGCCAACUUCUCAUCUGUGAUCUGUGCUAAUUCCACCAAUAAUCUGCCCGAGAACUGAAAGCAAGGACUCUUAACAGCAAAGUCCUUUGUUGCAUAUGCAACCAUAGGAGCCUGCCAAGGGAUUUUGAUUUGGCAGGUAUCCGCUAGGAGCUACAACAAAUCUCUUUUGCAUGUCGCUUAUCAAGUACGUGCCAAACAAGAAUGGCCUUGCAUUCCAACUACCAAACACUGCACAAUAGAAAUCAUCCGUGUAAUCAUAAAGGUAAAGGGACCCCUGACCAUUAGGUCCAGUCGUGACCGACUCUGGGGUUGCAGCGCUCAU